UAUGGGUCAGUGGUACAGCAUCUGCUUGGCGGCAUGCUAAAGGUCCCAGGUUCAAUCCCUGGCACAUCAAAU
rnacentral:tRNA from 1 species